AUAUGGAAGUUCCCAGGCUAGGGGUCAAAUCAGAGCUGUAGCCACUGGCCUACGCCACAGCAACGCCAGACCCAAAACUCAUCUGCAACCUACACCACAGCUCAUGGCAAUGCCCGAUCCUUAACCCACUGAGCAAGGCCAGGGAUUGAACCCAUCCUCAUGGGUACUUGGGUUUGUUACUGCUGAGCCACAACAAGAAUUCCCUACAUAUCUUUUUUUAAAGACAGGAAGAAAGAGAAAGAGGGUUCUACAAGCUCCUCCUGCCACAGCACAACUGAAGAACAAGGAUUAUAAUUAAAGCAUUUUGCUACGUGCAGUGGUUAUUUAAAUUGCAGCAAAUCCUUUGUUACUGUUCUCAUUGGGAGGCGAAGUGCUUGUCCACUUCAUGCAAAUCUGGGCACCCUUGUUUUGACCAAGAGAAUAUGGCAGAGUGAUGCUCUAUGACUUCUAAAGCUGGAUCAUAGAAGGCAUGGACCUUCCCUCUGGCUCUACCAGGAGGUUUGCUCUAGGUUAAGGCAGUUGCUAUGUGAGAAGUCUGAGUAUCCUGAGACGGCCAUGCUAGAGAGGCCACAGGUAGUCUCUACAUUGAUAGUCCCAGCUGAGCUCUCAACUGAGAGCCAACAUCAUCUGCCAACCCGUGUUGGAUGUCCCAGGUGACAUCUCAGUGUGACCACAGGCGGAACCUCAGGGCAGAACACCCAGCCAUGCCCAAAUUCCUGACCUGCAAAAUUAUGAGCAAAAGAAAAUGCUGUUUUAAGAGGUUGGGUUUGGGGAGUUAUUUGUUUACAAUAAUAGAUCAUUGAAACCUGACCAGACUGUUCUGAUGGAUGUGUGCCAGUCUUUAUCAAAUUAUUUCAAACAACCCCUCUGGUAGGAUCCUGUUUCACUCAUAAUGAUCACGCAGCAGCUCUCUGUAUUUCACCAAUUAUAAAUCCAACCAUAUUUUUGCAUAAUUCCUCCAAAACGUUUCCCAGUUUUCUAUAUUUCUAAGGCUCUUGGCCUGACAUUUUACCUAAGGAGCAAGUAGGUUACAGAUGCAACUACCCUUCUUAAGGUCCAAUGUUAUAUGGAAACGAAUCUGACUAGUAUCUAUGAGGAUGCAGGUUCUAUCCUCGGCCUUGCUCAGUGGUUCAGGGAUCUCGCAUUGCCAUGAGCUGUGUUGUAGGUUGCAGAUGUGGCUUGGAUCCCAUGUUGCUGUGGCUGUGGUGUAGGCCAGCAGCUGUAGCUCUGAUUUGACCCCUAGACUGGGAACUUCCAUAUGCCAUAGGCGUGGCUCUAAAAAAGAAAAAAAAAAAAAAAAAUUCUCCUCAAGAGCUCCCACUAUGACUGGCAGUGAGUUCUCCUUGAAAUAAGUUAGCCACAAAAGUCCAAAUAUUGUAUAAUUCCACUCAUAGAAGGUACCUAGAAUAGUUGAAUUUAUAGAGACAGAAAGUAAAAUGGUGGUUACCAAGGACUGAGCAAGAGAGGAAUGGGAAGUUAGUGUUUAAUCAAACAGAAUUUCAGGUGGAGAAGAUAGAAAACUUCUGGAAAUGGAUGAUGGUGAUGGUUGCACAACACUGAACUGUACACUUAAAAUGAAAUAAAUUUUAUAUUAUGUACAUUUUAUCACAACAAAAAAAUUCCAAAAAAAUUCUCCAUCCAAACACCCCGUAUAAAAAUCAUGACAAGCAGGAACAGUCUCCUAACAGAGCAGAUCAUGACCCUUUGAGGGGUGUAAAACCGGAUGAUCUCCUUUUUUGUUUAAAAGCUCCCCACCCCCACCAUGUAAAUAGGAAAAGAAACAUGAAUGAAAAAUGGCCUCCAGAAAAAGUGGUUGCUGUCAAAAAUAAUGGCCUAAGCAACCAUAAUAAAACUAAAGUCAUGGUUUGCAGGAGUUGUUCUCAACUCAUUCCAUUUCAUUUUGCAAGGAAUUCAUUCUCUUUGCCCCAUCAGAAAGCCUUGUCGUCCAGUCAGAGGUAAUGUGGGAGUCCUACUGGUGUUUUUCUCCAGCCAUGGUGGGUGAUUAGGAAACACCAGCUUUGACAUUUUUUCCAUGCCAAAACAGUAUGGAGCUCCAGGGACUCAAUUAAACAUUUGUUCAAGUGCUGGAGCAUUUUCAAAGCAACUUCCUAAGGAAAAUUUUGGCUCACCCUUGAGAUGCCCCUGUAGCCUACCUCUAAGGAAAAUUGGGGUGGUCUUUAUCGGUGUGAAUACACUGAUUUGCUUCUGCACUUUUAGUAGAAGGAUGACAGACUUAGCAUUUGCUCAGUUGUUUUCCAAACCCUAUGAAUCUGUGCUCUAUGAUCCCAAAGUAAUAACAACACUCUGGGCUUUUGCUAGAGAGAAGAAUCUUAAUUUUAUAUUGUUUGGUUCAGCUGCAGGAAGUGAUAUAUGGGAAAGACUGUCCAAUGGAUGUGUAGUUUAGGGUUCAAAGUGAACCCCCAAAUAUGAAAUUAUGUUAGCUGAGUCAGUCUGCAAAGACUCCUCUUCACUCAAGUCUUGGUUUUUAUGGGAGGUUAUUACAAGAAACGGGGCUGUAGAUAUCCUCUUUUUUUCUCUAUAAAAAUACUAUCAGGACCCUGCCUGCUAUAUCCCACAGUGCCCCUUAUGAUACUUCACAUAGUAAAUUUACGAUUUGUUUCAUUUGAAAAUAGAUAUUCUUGGCAUUUUCCAAUAGCACAAUCAAUGUCAAGGAUUUUCUCUCUUUACCUUGGCUACUAAGCAACUCAGGACCAGGAGUUCCCCUUCUGGCUCAUCGCUAACGAACCCGCUAGUAUCCAUGAGGACUUGGAUUUAAACCCUGGCCUUGCUCAGUGGGUUAAGGAUCCAGCGUUGCAGUGAACUGUAGUGUAGCUCACAGACUUGGCUCAGAUCCCGAAUUGCUGUGGCUGUGGUGCUGGGGUGUACGCCUGCAGCUACAGCUCUGAUUUUACCCCUAGCCUGGGCACUUCCAUAUGCCGCACCUGUAGCCAUAAAAAGACCAAAAACAAAACAAAACAAAACAAAAAAAACCCCAAAAAACUCAGGACCAAAUCUGAAGUAAUCUUAUUUACUCUUAAGGUCGCCUGAUUUAAGUUUCGAUUUUUUCUUUUCUGGUUUUCUAUUUUGAUGUUACCAAGUUAUUUGAAGUAGAGUGUUUUCCAUCAUAGACCACCCAGAUUCUUUUUGGAAAGAAAUGAUGAGUAAAACAUAUUUAGCUCAUAACUUUUAAUUCCCUUUGAUUGUGUCACCUCAGUUCAGCCUCAGUUUAUAGCAAUUGAGCUUCAAAAUGAAUGCUUAAGAAUUAAAAAGGUUAGAAAGUAACUUAAAGCUGAUAAAAACAAACAUACUGAAAGUUCUAGAGGCAAGGCUGUACACUAAAUCCAUAUCAGAGACUUUCAGAAAGGGAGAUGACCUUGAGUGAAUUCCUUCACUUCUUUGGAGCCCAAGACAGAACUGAAGUUUGGGCAGACUCAGUUUAACGAAGGACCAUCCUUCAGCUGGGAGUAACCCUGCCUCCACUGAAUCCCCUCCUACUUUAUUUAGAGCCUAUCUCCAGGCCUUUACACUUUCUAGCCCUUGCUAUCAUCUAAACUUGCUUCCAGUCACCAGCCUGGAUCAUCUAUGAGGGUAGGAGCCCUGCAUUUAUUCUUUCCCAAUUCUUUCUUACCCUUCCUACCAGAAGAGGUUGGUCCACAUGUUCACUGAAUGAAAAUAACUCCCUAACUCACAAAAUGCGGUUCGUUCUAAGGUUGCUCUCUGUGUAUUCACUCAUAGGCAUCUGCUGCUCAGGUCCAUUUCUCUGUAGCGUCAAACACUGGAUCUUUGCCCAGACAGAAUACCGAGAUCUAAGGAGCAUGUGACAUUCCUGGCAUUGCUUUGCUCUGCAAUGAUGGUCACCCAUAAAGUUUCUGAUAAGUAAAUGAGUGUGAGGCACAGUCGGUCCUUUCUGUUCCUUCCUCAAAUUAUCCUGAUCAUUAAUUCCACUUUCCAAAAUUACCAAGGCUUAUUUGUCUCGAAUGAUGGCGAUUGGCAGAUUUGGGAAGCAUUUCCUAGAAGAUUCGUUUGAAAAAAAGAAUUUGUAGGAGUAUGACAUUUGUGAGUUUAUUGCUAUAAGGAGAUGUUAGCCAACCUCUAUUCCAAAGUUAAAAAUAAAUUAAUUAAGAAUAAAAUGAAAUAAAAAUCAAAUACUAGUGGCUGAAUCCUUGCCAGGAAAAGAGAGCAAAGGGAUGAGUUUACAAAGGAAAAUCUGACAAGCUAACUUGUAAGUAAGCAUACAUGCAUGAUGUUAUGUUUAUGGAUGGAUGGAGGCUGCAGUUCAUUCAUAUUCCUUAGGUGUCCUAAAGAUCCAGGGCUUGGCUCUUGUGCUUAAAAUAGCUUUGGCGGUGCGUCCACCCCCUCGCGCAAAGUCACAAUUAGGAGCAGUUCGCCUCCGCGGGAACUCCCGUGACCGCCCUGCUGCACCGCCGCCCCCAGCGCUCCCGAUGCCUCCGGCGAUCCAGACGAGCCUCUGGAACCGCCCUUCGCCCGCAAGAAUCUCGGCUCUUGCCCGCCUCCCGGGUGCCUCUGGCCCUUGGACCCGCCAGGACCCCAGCAGCCUAGGGUGCGGAAGUUGCGACCCAGGGUAACAAACGUUUCCAUCCCGAGGGCUGUGCGGGGAGCCCGCGGACACCUCAUCCGACCGCACCGGGAGCGGGGCGGAGCACAGGAGUGGCUGCUCCCCAAAGAUGCGCCCCGGGUGCCCAGAAAGGGUGUCCCCGCGGGGGCGUUUGCUCCCGGGUCUGCGGCGCGCCUGUGCCCACGAGCGGGUCGGAGCGACGGGUUUUCAAUUUCUCCCUCCUUGCCGCCCCGGGGUUCCGCUCAGCUAAAUCCCAUGCUAGGCGCUUUGAUUUUCACCAAUUAGGGGCACACUUAGAGCCGGCAUUAGCAUUUAAAAUGAUUAUUUUUUAAGCAUUUCGAAGAGGAAGGGGCCUGAGUGAAAGUGGAGGGUAGGAGGGGAGAAGUGUUAAAUCUCUUCCAAAUCGCCACGAGAAAUCUAACUGGUUACGUACGAGUUUGUGACAGUUUGUUGGCUUUCCCCAAAUAUCCUCAGAUUAGCCUGACAGCUCCUUCCCUAAAAAUGCCCGGAGUAAAAGCCCCCCGCUCGGGAGCUGUUAAAUGGUGUCACCGAAUCCAAUCUCAGGGCGAUUACGGAGUUAAUUCACAUAAUAAGCAAAUCAUAGAGCUGACAGAUUAUUAUAUGAACACGGACAAAUUGUUACAUAAAAUAUUUUGAUACUGAUUGUUUUAUUAGUAAUGUUAAGCCUCUUCAUGGCUGUUUCUGUUUCUCGGGACUGACAUGUUAAACAAUGCUCACUGCUAAAUAAAUAAACCAAAAUGGUGUGAACUAAUUGUCUCCGUCAUUUAACUGUACACUUUCAUUAACAUUAUUAACACGAUUAUUGAGCAUUCUACUGGAUAUUUACACGGAUAAGAUUUUUCAGUAGCAAAUGUUACCCACAGAAGAAAAAAAAAAAUGCUAACUUAAAGUGGACUUGACUAACAUCCAGGUGUGAAAACUGAUCUUUUUGAUCUUUAAAGACACAGUAAAGGUUGUAUCAUUAGACUAUUAUGAUUUUCAAGUGCACGUGCUCCAGCUAUUAAAAGCAAUUUCAAUUAUUAAUGAAAACAACAACAAAAAGGCACAAAGGGUAUAAUCACAAAUCAAAACUUAGAAAAAUAUGUUUUGCCCAGCAAAGAAAAGAAAUGUAAUUCAUAUUUUAUUUUAUCAAGGAAAGCUCUGUGCAGUUUACUUAGUGCUGCAUAAUUAUGCUUCCUAGUUUUAAUAGAGCCGUAUGCACAUAAGAUCAAAAUGAUUAAUGGGUAUUUUGUUGAUAAAAAGAAACGCAGCAACUCAAUCUUUGACAUUUCAAAUAAAGCUUCAUUGACAAAGAACAUUUUUAGCCAAUGAAAAGUCUUUAUGAACUUAAGUGGGGUGUUAUAUAUCACAUAAGUAAGUGAAAAGUCAAAUUUUAAAUUUAGCUAGGGUUGUCACUUUCAGAAACUGGAAUCUUAGGUGUAAGUUGAGGUGAACUUGGGGGAGGGGUGAAGAAUUGGAAAAGAGGAAGAAAAAAAACCAAAGAAAUUUCCAUCUAUGAACAACAAAAAUACAUCAAUACAUCCUAUAUAUCUU
rnacentral:lncRNA from 1 species